rnacentral:rRNA from 1 species
GAUGAACGCUGGCGGCGUGCCUAAUACAUGCAAGUCGAGCGAAUGGAUUAAGAGCUUGCUCUUAUGAAGUUAGCGGCGGACGGGUGAGUAACACGUGGGUAACCUGCCCAUAAGACUGGGAUAACUCCGGGAAACCGGGGCUAAUACCGGAUAAUAUUUUGAACUGCAUGGUUCAAGAUUGAAAGGCGGCUUCGGCUGUCACUUAUGGAUGGACCCGCGUCGCAUUAGCUAGUUGGUGAGGUAACGGCUCACCAAGGCAACGAUGCGUAGCCGACCUGAGAGGGUGAUCGGCCACACUGGGACUGAGACACGGCCCAGACUCCUACGGGAGGCAGCAGUAGGGAAUCUUCCGCAAUGGACGAAAGUCUGAUGGAGCAACGCCGCGUGAGUGAUGAAGGUUUUCGGAUCGUAAAACUCUGUUGUAAGGGAAGAACACGUACGAGAGGAAAUGCUCGUACCUUGACGGUACCUUACGAGAAAGCCACGGCUAACUACGUGCCAGCCGCCGCGGUAA